rnacentral:ncRNA from 1 species
GGGAAUCCGGUGCGAAUCCGGAACUGUCCCGCAACGGUGUACUUGCGUGUAUCUGCACGCAUGUUCAGUCCGAGGACC